AUAUAUCUGACUUAUUUACUGCUGUAUCUUCAGCAUCUAGCACAAUGCCAGUCACACAAUAGAUGCUCAGUAAGUAUUUGUUGAAUGAAUGAAAGAAUGAAUGGAAGUGA